GAAACUGCGAAUGGCUCAUUAAAUCAGUUAUCGUUUAUUUGAUAGUACCUUACUACUUGGAUAACCGUGGUAAUUCUAGAGCUAAUACAUGCUAAAAAUCCCAACCUCUGGAAGGGAUGUAUUUAUUAGAUAAAAAACCAAUGCCUUCGGGCUCCUUGGUGAUUCAUGAUAACUUUACGAAUCGCAUGGCCUUGCGCCGGCGAUGGUUCAUUCAAAUUUCUGCCCUAUCAACUUUCGAUGGUAGGAUAGUGGCCUACCAUGGUUUCAACGGGUAACGGGGAAUUAGGGUUCUAUUCCGGAGAGGGAGCCUGAGAAACGGCUACCACAUCCAAGGAAGGCAGCAGGCGCGCAAAUUACCCAAUCCCGACACGGGGAGGUAGUGACAAUAAAUACUGAUACAGGGCCCUUUCGGGUCUUGUAAUCGGAAUGAGUACAAUUUAAAUCCCUUAACGAGGAACAAUUGGAGGGCAAGGCUGGUGCCAGCAGCCGCGGUAAUUCCAGCUCCAAUAGCGUAUAUUAAAGUUGUUGCAGUUAAAAAGCUCGUAGUUGAACCUUGGGUCUGGC
rnacentral:rRNA from 1 species